rnacentral:tRNA from 1 species
UAGAAUGUUGUGUAAUGGUAGCACGAAGAUUUUUGAAGUCUUAAGUUUAGGUUCAAAUCCUAAGGUUCUAG